GACGGGGGGUCCUAGCGUUGUUCGGAAUCAUUGGGCGUAAAGCGUGUGCAGGUUGUUUUUCAAGUUGGAUGUGAAAGCCUUGGGCUCAACCCAAGAAGUGCAUUCAAAACUGUUAAACUUGAGUAUGGAAGAGGGUCGUGGAAUUCCAGGUGUAGUGGUGAAAUACGUAGAUAUCUGGAGGAACACCGGUGGCGAAGGCGGCGACCUGGUCCAAUACUGACACUCAUACACGAAAGCGUGGGGAUCAAACAGG
rnacentral:rRNA from 1 species